rnacentral:lncRNA from 1 species
GUUUACUGGUCCAGGCGUCCUGCUGGUCCCCUAAGGCCUAGAGGUGAGCUACCAGAACCAGCCUUUUCUUUCUGCCCCAUCUUAACUGGAACUUCUUAGACAUUUGUGAAAACUGGUAAUACACUGCAGACUAUAGCUUACAAAAGUACUCUUCAGUACUUCCCCAUCUUCAAAACGGACAUCAAGGCAUCAAGAGGCGCUGGCAAAGGGGGUCGGCUUACAAGACGGAGCUGUCGUUGGAGCGGAGAAGAAAGCAAGUGACAUUUGAGUGCAUCAGAGUUCUGCUCUGUUCCACUAAGAAG